rnacentral:rRNA from 1 species
CAGCCGCCGCGGUAAAACGGAGGGAGCUAGCGUUGUUCGGAAUCACUGGGCGUAAAGCGCACGUAGGCGGCUAUUCAAGUCAGGGGUGAAAGCCCGGGGCUCAACCCCGGAACUGCCUUUGAAACUAGAUAGCUUGAAUCUUGGAGAGGCGAGUGGAAUUCCGAGUGUAGAGGUGAAAUUCGUAGAUAUUCGGAAGAACACCAGUGGCGAAGGCGACUCGCUGGACAAGUAUUGACGCUGAGGUGCGAAAGCGUGGGGAGCAAACAGGAUUAGAUACCCCGGUAGUCCCUGUCUCUUAUAC